rnacentral:rRNA from 1 species
AUUGAACGCUGGCGGCAGGCCUAACACAUGCAAGUCGAGCGAGCGGCGGACGGGUGAGUAAUGUAUGGGGAUCUGCCUGAUGGCGGGGGAUAACUACUGGAAACGGUAGCUAAUACCGCAUACCAUCAGAUGAACCCAUAUGGGAUUAGCUUGUAGGUGAGGUAACGGCUCACCUAGGCGACGAUCCCUAGCUGGUCUGAGAGGAUGAUGAGCCACAAUGGGACUGAGACACGGCCCAGACUCCUACGGGAGGCAGCAGUGGGAAAUAUUGCACAAGGGGCGCAAGCCUGACGCAGCAAGGCCGGGGGUAUGAAGAAGGCCUUCGGGUUGUAAAGUACUUUCAGCGGGGAGGCGUUACCCGCAGAAGAAGCACCGGCUAACUCCGUGCCAGCAGCCGCGGUAAUAC